ACUCACUCCAAGCGGAGCUGCGUUCGCGGUCCACAUAUCCAGAUGCGUGCUGCCUAGUGCUCGUCAAUACAUACCAGAAAGUUUUCGUUCGAAGUUUCCAAGUACAUAGCCUUUCGUCAGAGUGCACCAACUUCGAUGGCGAAGCCGCGCCUACACAACUGCACAGACCGACAGUGGUGGUUUGAAGUUGAAGAUGGCGAGGUUAAGGCUAACAUUGCUGGCAUUGACUAUCGUAUGAGUUGUUGUGCAAGUAGACAAGUCGACCAAAGACGAUACAGUCGCAAUACAAGCUGGAAAACGCCAUCAUGACCAGUAUGCGGACGAGUACUUCGUCAAAGUCAAGAGAUUCCUUGUGGAUGAGAUCCUUUUCUGCCAGAAGCUUUCGUGGAUGUGUGACGGCUGAUCAGUUUCGUGACAAGUAUAAUAUGAUCUGGACGCGUUUGGACCAUUCAGCAAGAUACACCCACGAAAAGGAAAAACACUGGAGAUCACGAUCGUCGUGAAGAACAACGCCCAUUCCAGACAGAAACUGAUCGAUGAUUCGACUCUUCAUGGCGAGGGGACAUGUGCCUGCGGAGGCGCUUGCAACUGUCACACUUCCACGUCAAACAAAGAGGAGAACUGUGAUCUUCCCGUGGGUCGCAUCAAAGAUGCCAUUUGAUCAAAACGUGCGGUCGCUGACGAUGUGCCGUCUUGAAUGCCGUUUAAAGGGUAUUGAAACCUUUUGCAUUGACCGAUACCGCGCGCAGCAAGAUUCUCCAACACGUCACCUGCACGCUUGAAUCCUCCCCACUGCGACCGUUGCCCCGGCCCGUUCUCGAGCACUGUCCGAAAACGUUCCCAUUGCAACCUUUAUAUUACGACAAGUACAUGUGACUGCGGUUUGACUACAUUUGUCCACGAACAAUAGAUUCAAUGGCUUAUUCAUAUUGCGCUAGGGUACUGCCAUAUGAUAUUUGUAAUUUGUAAUACAAUGUGUAAUCCGAGAUGUCGUGAAGUUGUGAUGCCACAUGUUGGCAGUAGUCUCUGAUUGUUCUUUCUUUCGUGUUCUUGUUUAACUACUGAGUUUAUACCGCAAACGUUUGUGCAUCGAAUUGUAUAUACUAUCGAGCACAAGCUGAACUUGAAUCAGUUGAUAAGGGCCAUGUAGAUUUAGAACUUGUAAUUAGAGCUAUCAGUAACAAACGAAUAGCUUGAAAUACUUUGCUGACAAAUGUGCAACAAGGGCAUUGCUGAAUACAAUCGAUUAUUAGCCAUGACAAGUAUAAUCAAGCUAAAUAUGAACUGUAAAGGGUUCAUCCCUCUAGCUCUAUACAUUGCACCAUUUGUAUUGUAACCAGUAGUUUUACGUCUUCAGUUCUAUAGUUUUCCCUUUUUGCUUGCCAAUCAAUACACCUAAUUGCAAUGGAC